rnacentral:rRNA from 1 species
AUACGAAGGUCCCGAGCGUUAUUCGGAAUCACUGGGCGCAAAGAGUAUGUAGGCGGUUUGGUAAGUCAGGUGUGAAAUCCCGGAGCUCAACUUCGGAACUGCAUCCGAUACUACCAGACUAGAGUAAUGGAGAGGCAGGUGGAAUUCUCGGUGUAGCAGUGAAAUGCGUGGAUAUCGAGAGGAAGACCAAUGGCGAAGGCAGCCUGCUGGACAUUUACUGACGCUGAGAUACGAAGGCUAGGGGAGCGAAAGGGAGUAGAAACACCAGUAGUCC